CUUAAAACAGGACAUAUUAGCUGCAUUUAACCUUCAGUUACUCUUUAUAUAUUUAGGUAGGAGUCAGGCCAUGUUUCUUUUUAGCUGAAAAGCAUUACACCCAGAGACACAGCCAGGUUCAUAUUGGAUAUGAGGAAGUUUUUUCAAAAACAGGAGCCACAUUCAGUCCAUAGAGGGAGAGAGGAAAGAGGGGAACAUGAGGAGAAAGUACAAGAUCAGGAAGAACCAGCAUGUCUUUAUCCUGUCCUUCCUUCCUCAUUGUGACGAGUAAAGUUUACCUUGCCUGGAUGGGCAGCUCUCUGGGUGCUCAGCACCCCCAAAGCUCUGAUCCUAGAAUCGCCCCUGAUGAGAGCUUCAACCAAUCAUUUUAUCUUUGUUAAUUUCUUGCAUAAAAUACUCUUAGAGUGACAACUGAGUUUAAUUGGUUAGGCUGAGCAUGAAUAAUUUAUGUCCUUUCUUGGAAAGGCAUUGCUCCCUUGCUCUCCAGCAGCACUACGCCUCUGUGUAUGAUUGAACAGAAUUAUAAAUGACAAUUGCAGUGGGAAUGAGUGGAGUCACGUGGGGAUCCACAGGUAGGUCAG
ensembl:lncRNA